rnacentral:rRNA from 1 species
UACAGGGGGGGCAAGCGUUGUUCGGAAUUACUGGGCGUAAAGGGCUCGUAGGCGGCCAACUAAGUCAGACGUGAAAUCCCUCGGCUUAACCGGGGAACUGCGUCUGAUACUGGAUGGCUUGAGUUCGGGAGAGGGAGUGCGGAAUUCCAGGUGUAGCGGUGAAAUGCGUAGAUAUCUGGAGGAACACCGGUGGCGAAGGCGGCAUCCUGGACCGACACUGACGCUGAGGAGCGAAAGCCAGGGGAGCAAACGGG